GUCGUAACAAGGUUUCCGUAGGUGAACCUGCGGAAGGAUCAUUACCACACCAAAAAAACUUUCCACGUGAACCGUUGUAAUUAUGUUUUGUGCUUUCCUUCGGGAUCGCUAAACGAAGGUCUGGCUGCUUUGCUCUUUGGGUAUUGCGGCUGCACCGAUGUACUUUUCAAACCCAUUUACUUAAUACUGAAACUAUACUCCGAGAACGAAAGUUUUUGGUUUUAAUCCAUAACAACUUUCAGCAGUGGAUGUCUAGGCUC
rnacentral:misc_RNA from 1 species